GCUCUCUCGCACGAUCUGCUCCCGGACUCCUUCAGCGCGCUGCCUGCCUGCCCAGGGCCUUCCCGGAGAGCAGGUGACGGCGGCCUCCGGGCAUGGAGCUCGCGCUGACGAAAGGUUCUGGAAGCCGCCGUAAAAACCCUUUGAGGAACCGUUUGAGGUGUGGCACGAUACAGCAAGUCAGCUGCCAAAGAGGGGCUUAGCCACAGGAAGUGCGUGCCCAGAACGCAUCUCCCGUGUCCCUCACAGCAGUUCUAUGAGGCUGGCUGCCCUGUUUGACAACUGAGGCCCGCAUCUUCCCCGGAAUCACCGACGUGUGGCUCUGAGCCCUGUCCCAGGGAUUUUCUCCAUCAGAGAAGAGGAGCACUUUGAGCUUUGAGAGGAGCAGCCCUCUGCAAGUGAAGUGGAAAAAAAGGAAGCAGGCGAGGAGGCCCAUCCAGACCCUCCCCCAAGACCCUUGCUGAAAUGGCUGGGAUGCGGCGUGCAGAAGCUCUCCUUUCCUUCACAGCCCCUGGCUUUCCAAGAGUCCCUGCCCACCCAGAUGCCCGCUGGCAGAUGCAGCCUCAUCUCAAGGACACUGCUUGCUGGAUAAAUCCCUCACCACCCUAGAGACAGCCCACGGUCCUGAGACAAGGAUGCGGGCCAGGCUUGUUGCACGUAAGCGCCUCCCGCAGAAACCAGUGAGGCCGGAGUUCCAGAGGAAAUGAUGUAGGGACAGAGGCAGAGGGCCUCCAGGAGGCACCAGCCCCAGAGUCUUCCCUAGAAUCAGACUUUAAGCACAAGCAGGGAGGGAAAGCACUUGAGCAGUGCCCGUCCCUGCAUACCUGGCCUCUGCUGGAACCCAUGCAGGGACAGGACACUUCUUUAUCAGCAAUCCUGUUCCUCUCCUGGGCAGCUUCAACCUGAACAUCCUCCUUCACCUUGAGCUAAAAUGGGUUUCUUGUCACCCUUGCCCAUCAAACCUGGCCUUGCCCUCAGGAACCACACAGGACAAGCCUAAUACUUCCUUCUUGUGGCAACACUUUAGCAAUUGAGACCUGGCUGUCAGGUCCUCCAAAUAAACAUUUGUGACUGUGA
rnacentral:lncRNA from 1 species